UGCUGAAGCUCACGCUCACACUCACACUACUUAUCAACUGUCUGUCCUGACAAGACUGAGACAUCAGAUGUCCGCGGGAAAUAUGGAACUUGAGGGAAAAAGAAAAAUUAAGGAGCAAUGUGCCCUGAGGAAGGACAUCAUCAAAGAGUUCCUGGCAGAAUUUCUGGGGAUAUUCGUAUUAAUACUCUUUGGAUGUGGCUCGGUGGCCCAGACAGUGCUGAGUAAGGGAGCUCUGGGAGAACCCCUGACCAUCCACAUCGGCUUCACUCUGGGGGUGAUGAUGGCCGUCUACGUGGCUGGGGGAGUGUCAGGGGCCCAUGUGAACCCAGCAGUCUCUCUGGCCAUGGUGGUCCUGGGCAAGCUGCCUAUAAAGAAGUUCCCUGUCUACGUGGCAGCACAGUUCCUGGGUGCCUUCGCUGGAUCUUGUGCUGUCUAUGGGUUGUAUUACGAUGCCUUAAUGGAACACACAGGAGGAGUUAUGCAAGUUACUGGCAUCAAUGCCACAGCUAAUAUAUGGGCAUCCUACCCUGCCAAGCACAUCUCAGUCCUUGGAGGAUUCGUAGACCAGGUGAUAGGAACAGCUGCCUUGAUCCUGUGCAUUCUGGCCAUUAUUGAUGGGAAGAACAUUGGAGCUCCUAAAGGGAUGGAGCCACUGUGCAUUGGCCUGAUCAUCAUGGCCAUCGGCGUGUCCAUGGGACUCAACUGUGGCUAUCCCAUCAACCCUGCUAGAGACCUGGGCCCAAGGCUCUUCACUGCUGUGGCUGGUUGGGGCAUGGAGGUGUUCCGGUAAUUUCCAACAAUGCUUAUACUAGAGAAAAGACAAGUCCCACAAAUGUGAGCUGGAUGGCCUCCAUAAGUACAGUAGAAUUUCACAAACAUUGUUAGAUGCCUUUUGCCCUGAAACCCUUUGAAAUUGAAAAUGUGCUUUCUUCUCCAAAUAAAAAUCAAACAGCCCAUAUUCACUUUACAGUAGAACAUUGAAAGAUUCAUAAAGACGCAGAAACAGAGUAUGUGUGUGUGUGACAGGAAAACCCCUCUCUGAUCUGGGCAUGCCAAGUGGAGAUGCAGGCACAUUAUUCUGCUUUUCAGUCCUCCUCCCCAGCAGUGGCUGGGAGUUAGGCACGCAGUGUGAGAAACAUGGGAGUGAAUACCAGUGGCCUGGCCUCCUUCUCUCCUACAGGAUGUAACUGACAGUUAGACUUACAGGUUAUAUCGUUGUCUUUUGUUUGAAUUGUUUAUGUGUCCGCUGUGCGGGGGAAAUGAUAAUACAAGCGGAACUACGUAGCUAAUACUGUUGUAAUGGGGAUAUAUUGUAGCAACACACUUUUGGAGGGAAGGCAAUCCUGCGCUGCGUUAGCUAAGUUUUCAUGUCAUCGGGUGUAGUUCAUAAAGGUUGAAGAGUGUAUGUUAGGAUGAAGUGUGAAUUCAUGCCAGGAAUAAUAAGUGUGAAGUUUGAUUUCCUCCCUUCUGUAAUAAGCAGCCAAUGAGGUAUUUUUUCCUUUAUUCAUGUGUUUAAUCUGAACCCGUUAUAACGCCGGUUAAACUUUUAUGUAUGUAAGCACUUCAGAGUUAUACCAAGCUAAUAAGUCACUCGUAAGAUAAUGUUGUAAGAGUGUGCUUA